rnacentral:rRNA from 1 species
UGGGGAAUAUUGGACAAUGGGCGCAAGCCUGAUCCAGCCAUGCCGCGUGAGUGAUGAAGGCCCUAGGGUUGUAAAGCUCUUUCACCGGUGAAGAUAAUGACGGUAACCGGAGAAGAAGCCCCGGCUAACUUCGUGCCAGCAGCCGCGGUAAUACGAAGGGGGCUAGCGUUGUUCGGAUUUACUGGGCGUAAAGCGCACGUAGGCGGACUCUUAAGUCAGGGGUGAAAUCCCGGGGCUCAACCCCGGAACUGCCUUUGAUACUGGAAGUCUUGAGUAUGGUAGAGGUGAGUGGAAUUCCGAGUGUAGAGGUGAAAUUCGUAGAUAUUCGGAGGAACACCAGUGGCGAAGGCGGCUCACUGGACCAUUACUGACGCUGAGGUGCGAAAGCGUGGGGAGCAAACAGG